AUCAACUCUCAUAUUUGUUGUUGUAGUUCGAUUGAUCAGUGGCGUAUUUGUUCGUUUUCAUGUGUUUUUUUGGAUUGUAGCAAUUUAUUGUUAUAACACUCUUUACUGCUAUUUGCAAUUUAUUGUCGUUAAAAUGAACCUGAUGAUCUGAAACUGGCAUCUUGGCUCUGGACACUUACUGUUAGUUCUCUUUUCUCUUUAUUGUGCUUGCUUUGCUGCUUGAACUGAUCUAGCAUUUUAGCAUUGUGCUCGAUUACGCGAAUCAAAUUGAUCCAACAUCUUAACUUUCAAUUUGCUGGGGAGUUUUUUUUUCCCCCUCUUUAUUGUUCUAACUAUGCUCUGUGAACUGACCUGCUUCUACCAUUUGCAUCUUUAAGGGCCUCAGAGGGCUUUAUGCUGGUUUUUCUCCGGCAGUUCUUGGAUCUNCUCCGCCGCCGCCGCCGCCGCCGCCGCCGCCGACGACGACGACGACGAUGACGACGAUGUGGUCGGAGGAUUGGAAGUGGGAGAACGCGGCGGCGGGAGCCGUCGCCGGGUUCGCCACCGUCGCCGCUCUCCACCCUCUCGACGUCGUACGCACCAGGUUCCAAGGUCUCUCUCUCUCUCUCUCUCUCUCUCUCUCUCUCUCUCUCUCUCUCUAGCGCUCUCUCUAAUUUCAUGUCUUUUUGCGUCAGUGAGUGAUGGGCGACCGUCGAUUCUUCCGCAGUACAAGAACACGGGGCACGCGAUCUACACGAUCGCGCGAUCCGAAGUUGGUUCCUUCGUCCAAUGAACACAUCAACUCCUUAUUUGUUGUUGUAGUUCGAUUGAUCAGUGGCGUAUUUGUUCGUUUUCAUGUGUUUUUUGGGAUCGUAGCAAUUUAUUGUUAUAACACACUUUACUGCUAUUUGCAAUUUAUUGUCGUUAAAAUGAACCUGAUGAUCUGAAACUGGCAUCUUGGCUCUGGACACUUACUGUUAGUUCUCUUUUCUCUUUAUUGUGCUUGCUUUGCUGCUUGAACUGAUCUAGCAUUUUAGCAUUGUGCUCGAUUACGCGAAUCAAAUUGAUCUAACAUCUUAACUUUCAAUUUGCUGGGGAGUUUUUUUUUCCCCCUCUUUAUUGUUCUAACUAUGCUCUUUGAACUGACCUGCUUCUACCAUUUGCAUCUUUAAGG
rnacentral:lncRNA from 1 species